CCUACGGGUGGCUGCAGUGAGGAAUAUUGGUCAAUGGCCGGGAGCCUGAACCAGCCAAGUCGCGUGAAGGAAGAAGGUACUUAGUAUUGUAAACUUCUUUUGUCGGGGAACAAAGUCGGAGACGCGACUCCGAAUGAGUGUACCAGAAGAAAAAGCAUCGGCUAACUCCGUGCCAGCAGCCGCGGUAAUACGGAGGAUGCGAGCGUUAUCCGGAUUUAUUGGGUUUAAAGGGUGCGCAGGCGGGCGAUCAAGUCAGCGGUAAAAGGUCGGGGCUCAACCCCGGCCGGCCGUUGAAACUGGUUGUCUAGAGUUGGAGAGAGGUAUGCGGAAUUCGCGGUGUAGCGGUGAAAUGCAUAGAUAUCACGAAGAACUCCGAUUGCGAAGGCAGCAUACCGGCGCCAUACUGACGCUGAGGCACGAAAGCGUGGGGAUCGAACAGGAUUAGAUACCCGGGUAGUC
rnacentral:rRNA from 1 species